CCUACGGGUGGCAGCAGUGGGGAAUAUUGGACAAUGGGCGAAAGCCUGAUCCAGCCAUGCCGCGUGUGUGAAGAAGGCCUUCGGGUUGUAAAGCACUUUCAGUGGGGAAGAAAGCCUUGGGGCUAAUACCCUCGAGGAAGGACAUCACCCACAGAAGAAGCACCGGCUAACUCCGUGCCAGCAGCCGCGGUAAUACGGAGGGUGCGAGCGUUAAUCGGAAUUACUGGGCGUAAAGCGCGCGUAGGCGGUCUGAUAAGCCGGUUGUGAAAGCCCCGGGCUCAACCUGGGAACGGCAUCCAGAACUGUCAGGCUAGAGUGCAGGAGAGGAAGGUAGAAUUCCCGGUGUAGCGGUGAAAUGCGUAGAGAUCGGGAGGAAUACCAGUGGCGAAGGCGGCCUUCUGGACUGACACUGACGCUGAGGUGCGAAAGCGUGGGUAGCAAACAGGAUUAGAUACCCUGGUAGU
rnacentral:rRNA from 1 species